rnacentral:rRNA from 1 species
CUUUUUUGGGGGGAACUUGUAUGAGUGGAGUAUAGGUGCUUUUAUGAAUUGAGCUUAGAGUGAAUUUGAUUUUUCUAAGAAAAGUUAGAAGUUUUCCUAAAGACGAGAAGACCCUAAAAUCUUUAUUUUAAUUUAUAGGAUUUAAUUUUUAUUUGGGGGAAAGAUUAAUUUUUAUUUAUUGUUUUAUUAUUGUGAACUUUUUUAGGGUGUAUGGAUAGAUACUUUAGGGGUAACAGGAUUAUU